ACCGGCCUCCUAUCUGAGAACGGCGACGAGUGGUGGCGGCUCCGUAGCCGCGUGCAGGUGCCGCUGCUGCGCCCCAAAAACGUCGCCAUGUACCUGCCUGCUGUGGACGGCGCCACCAACAAGUUCUUGGACAGGAUUGACCUGCUGCAGGCCGAGACUGGCCAAGUGCCUUCAGACUUCAUGCAGGA